ACCACCCAUUCCCCCUCCUUCCUUCUCCCUGCCUUCUCUUCCCUGCACCUAUCCUCCCCGCACGCCCACCCAUUCCCCUCAUUCUCACUCCAUUCUCUCCUCUGCACUCACCAAUUUAUCACGAUUGCUUCUGCGAUUGGGAAUUAGGGUUUUUGGGGUGCGUUUCAGAUUCAGAUUUUGUAAAAUCAAAUUGGGUUUUGAUUGUUGGGGUUUAAUUUGUGGUUGCAGAUGGCCCGUACCAAGCAAACUGCUCGGAAGUCCACCGGACGCAAGGCUCCAAGGAAGCAACUUGCUACCAAUGCUGCUAGGAAAUCAGCCCCUACCACCGGAGGCUUGAAGAAGCCCCACAGAUACCGCCCUGGAACUGUUGCUCUUCGUUAUGUAUUCGAACCCCCAUUUAGUUACCCAAUUAAUCUUAAAAUUUGUAAUUUUGAUUGUGGGUAAUUACGGAAAUCAAUUAAGGAUUGGUAAUUAAUCAUUCUUGUUUUGUGAUU